rnacentral:rRNA from 1 species
GGACGGGUGAGUAAUGUCUGGGAAACUGCCUGAUGGAGGGGGAUAACUACUGGAAACGGUGGCUAAUACCGCAUAACGUCGCAAGACCAAAGAGGGGGACCUUCGGGCCUCUUGCCAUCAGAUGUGCCCAGAUGGGAUUAGCUUGUUGGUGAGGUAACGGCUCACCAAGGCGACGAUCCCUAGCUGGUCUGAGAGGAUGACCAGCCACACUGGAACUGAGACACGGUCCAGACUCCUACGGGAGGCAGCAGUGGGGAAUAUUGCACAAUGGGCGCAAGCCUGAUGCAGCCAUGCCGCGUGUAUGAAGAAGGCCUUCGGGUUGUAAAGUACUUUCAGCGGGGAGGAAGGUGUUGUGGUUAAUAACCGCAGCAAUUGACGUUACCCGCAGAAGAAGCACCGGCUAACUCCGUGCCAGCAGCCGCGGUAAUACGGAGGGUGCAAGCGUUAAUCGGAAUUACUGGGCGUAAAGCGCACGCAGGCGGUCUGUCAAGUCGGAUGUGAAAUCCCCGGGCUCAACCUGGGAACUGCAUUCGAAACUGGCAGGCUUGAGUC